rnacentral:rRNA from 1 species
UUCCCCUAGUAACUGCGAGUGAAGCGGGAAAAGCUCAAAUUUAAAAUCUGGUAGUCUAUGGCUGCCCGAGUUGUAAUCUAGAGAAGCGUUAUCCGCGCUGGACCGUGUAUAAGUCUCCUGGAAUGGAGCGUCGUAGAGGGUGAGAAUCCCGUCUUUAACACGGACUACCAGGGCUUUGUGAUGCGCUCUCAAAGAGUCGAGUUGUUUGGGAAUGCAGCUCUAAAUGGGUGGUAAAUUCCAUCUAAAGCUAAAUAUUGGCGAGAGACCGAUAGCGAACAAGUACCGUGAGGGAAAGAUGAAAAGAACUUUGGAAAGAGAGUUAAACAGUACGUGAAAUUGUUGAAAGGGAAACGCUUGAAGUCAGUCGCGUUGGCCAGGGAUCAACCUUGCUUUUGCUGGGCGUACUUCCUGGUUAACGGGUCAGCAUCAAUUUUGACCAGUGGAAAAAGAUCAGGGGAAUGUGGCAUCUUCGGAUGUGUUAUAGCCUCUGGUCGUAUACAUUGGUUGGGAUUGAGGAACUCAGCACGCCGCAAGGCCGGGUUUUACCACGUUCGUGCUUAGGAUGCUGGCAUAAUGGCUUUAAUCGACCCGUCUUGAAACACGGACCAAGGAGUCUAACAUGCCUGCGAGUGUUUGGGUGGAAAACCCAAGCGCGUAAUGAAAGUGAAAGUUGGGAUCUCUGUCGCGGAGAGCACCGACGCCCGGACCAGACCUUCUGUGACGGAUCCGCGGUAGAG